AACAAAAAGAAAAAGAAAAAGAAAAAGAAAAAGAAAAAGAAAAAGAAAAAAAGGGUUUGUUUUUUCAUGCUUGAGUGAGAGUGGAGCAAAUGACCAUCAUCUCCUCGCCACAAGUCCAAACUCCAAACACAAGCACUUUCAGCCCACGUUAACAACCAACGACCACCAUGCACAGCCUCAUGAUUUCCGUCACUAAACCCUCCAUAGCCUUCACUACGCCACCAGACUUUUCUACCUCCUCACUCUCAAAUCCUUUAUUCCCUUCUGGUGGCCCCACAAACUCUACCCUCUCUACCCCUCCACCUCUCCCCUCACCCCCCCUCUCUUCUCCGCCAUUGCCUUCCCUUCCCGCAUCGUCAUCACCAUAUUCUCAGCCCCUGCUCUCUCCCUCACAACCCCUCUUCUACCUCCUCGCGAGAACAUAUUUAUAAUAGUUUCACUUGGCAAAAAUGUACAACUGAUAGACACCACGUUCUUGCUUAAUUUUGUGUUGAUGAUAUCAGUAGAGUAAAAGUAUUAGUUCCUACAAUAACAACACGUAACGGGGUCCAUUUGCUUGGAACUGGACGCUGCCGGAAGGUGUUGUGUCCAGUCCCACGAGUUGUGGGACUGGAAGAGCCUCCAGUUGUUCCGGAUUUUCUCCGCGAACUAGAGGCUGCAGGUGGUUGGGACCCGCCUGUGCGAAGGGAGUUGUGGAGAGGAGCGAUGAGGGAUUGUUGGAUGCAAUGGUUUUUGCUAGUAGUGGAGAAGUGGAGGGGUUAUUGAAGAGUUUGAAAGAGCUUGGGUGGGAGUGGGAGAUGAUGAGGAGGAGGUGGCCUAAUUUAGUGGUGGUAGCACAUGGGCCGGUGACCGCCGCCGGGGCUGAGAGUUUGGGAGUGAAUGUUAAUGUUGUGAGUGAGAGGUUUGAUAGUUUUCAAGGUACUGUGUGGAUGCUGUCAAAACCAAGUUAAGAGGUUUGGAUUCUACCUCUAUGUGAAUUUGUCUGAACGAAAAUUUGUAUCAUUGAUUUGCAAAAAUGAAAAGAAGGAGAGCUAACUUUUGGUUAAAAGACUUCGUUUACAAGAAAAUUUCCCUUUCUUCCUAUUUCUUGCUUAAGCAAGAAGAAAAAACUGUUCAUAGCCAUGACAGGGUAAAAAAAGAGAAGAAGCUCUCAAUCAAUUAAUGUAAAAAGCCAUACUUUAAUGAUGAGACUACUUGUUAAGCCUGUAACUGUCAUUCAAUGUUCUCAUAUGUAACUGUUACUGUAAUCCAUCAUGUUCAUUAGCUAGUUCUCUAAUUUUCUUGAUAA